UGGGGAAUAUUGGACAAUGGGCGAAAGCCUGAUCCAGCCAUGCCGCGUGUGUGAAGAAGGUCUUCGGAUUGUAAUGCACUUUAAGUUGGGAGGAAGGGCAGUAAGCGAAUACCUUGCUGUUUUGACGUUACCGACAGAAUAAGCACCGGCUAACUCUGUGCCAGCAGCCGCGGUAAUACAGAGGGUGCAAGCGUUAAUCGGAAUUACUGGGCGUAAAGCGCGCGUAGGUGGUUCGUUAAGUUGAAUGUGAAAGCCCCGGGCUCAACCUGGGAACUGCAUCCAAAGCUGGCGAGCUAGAGUAGGGCAGAAGAUGGUGGAAUUUCCUGUGUAGCGGUGAAAUGCGUAGAUAUAGGAAGGAACACCAGUGGCGAAGGCGACCACCUGGGCUCAUACUGACACUGAGGUGCGAAAGCGUGGGGAGCAAACAGG
rnacentral:rRNA from 1 species